rnacentral:rRNA from 1 species
UUGAACGCUGGCGGCAUGCUUUACACAUGCAAGUCGAACGGCAGCGGGGGCUUCGGCCUGCCGGCGAGUGGCGAACGGGUGAGUAAUGCAUCGGAACGUACCCAGUCGUGGGGGAUAACUACGCGAAAGCGUAGCUAAUACCGCAUACGCCCUGAGGGGGAAAGCGGGGGACCUUCGGGCCUCGCGCGAUUGGAGCGGCUGAUGUCGGAUUAGCUAGUUGGUGGGGUAAAGGCCUACCAAGGCGACGAUCCGUAGCUGGUCUGAGAGGAUGAUCAGCCACACUGGGACUGAGACACGGCCCAGACUCCUACGGGAGGCAGCAGUGGGGAAUUUUGGACAAUGGGCGCAAGCCUGAUCCAGCCAUGCCGCGUGAGUGAAGAAGGCCUUCGGGUUGUAAAGCUCUUUCAGACGGAAAGAAAACGCAUCGGUGAAUACCCGGUGUGGAUGACGGUACCGUAAGAAGAAGCACCGGCUAACUACGU